GAGCUACUAUUUUUAUUCUCAGGAUUCGCGUGUAUGUCGCUGCGGUUGAUCAUGUCCUGAAUGAGAAACGGUUCAUGAUCCCAGGCCUUUGGAGAUGCUGGAGACCGAAGCUAUGGGACCUAGCUAAUGAUCUAGAGCUCGAGAGAUGCAGCUGGGCCUGGGCGCCUGGCUGGCUUAUUCAGAAUUGAAGCAGAGCAAGAAUGUAGCCAUGGGGGUAGCCUGAGAAGGGCAUCUGCUCGUUGUAAAAGGCACCAGCUUGACUUUGUGGCAUGGCACGCAAAUGAUAUGAGAUGCUCACAGUGGGAGAAUUUAAAUAAAUUGUUGCUA